ensembl:lncRNA
GUAGGAGUCUUCAUGCCGUAUAGCGCCCCCUGGUGUAGGAAACAUGGACACCAGUGCAUUCCACUCUUUUUUUGCCUCUUUGUCAACUCAAGUGGCUUUAUUGUCGUUUCAGUCACACAAGUCACCUACACAAGGGUGGUAUUUUUUUUUGCGGAAUUGCAGUCGCACGGAAUAGUUCUGCGCUCUUUCGCAGUGAUGUUUGUUGGUAAACGAGACCUUUUGGCUGUACUCCUGUUCGACGCAUGCAAAUAGAAGAGGGCGUGGGUUGAACGCGUGUUGUGAUGACGUCAUGUCUCGGCCCAAAUCUGUGAAAAAUUGAAAAAUUUCAGGUACCUAUGAAUAUUCUGGCAUCUGCUUGGUUUUGUGUUAAUUUCUGCGAUCAUGAAAUCCUGGAAGAGGAGCCCCGAUGAUCUUCUCAGCUGUCAUCACUAUCUUGCGAGGGUCUUGCGAUCCGAUACGGUGCGAUUUCCGAACUAGACAGUGAUGCAGCUGCUCAGGAUGUUCUCGAUAGUUCCUCUGUAGAGCGUGGUGAGGAUGAGGGGUGGGAGAUGGGCUUUCUUCAGCCUUCUCAGAAAGUAAACACGCUGCUUGGUGUUCUUGGUGUUGAGGGAGCAGGUGAGGUUCUCUGCCAGGUGAACAGCAAGGAAUUUGGUGCUCUCGUCGAUCUCCACGGAGGAGCCGUCGAAAUUCAGCGGAGGGUGGUCGCUCCAUGUUCUCCUGAAGUCAACGACCAUGUCUUGUUUUGUUCACGUUCAGAGACAGGUUGUUGGCUCUGAGGCAGGACACUGAAGACUUCUUCGGCACGGGGACGAUGGUGGUGGUCUUGAAGCAUGAUGGAACCAUGUCUCUCUCUCUGUCUCUCUCUCUGUCUCUAUCUCUCGAUCUCUCUGUCUCUCUCUGUCUCUCUCUCUCUCUGUCUGUCUCUCUCUGUCUCUCUCUCUCUGUCUGUCUCUCUCUGUCUCUAUCUCUCGAUCUCUCUGUCUCUCUCUCUCUGUCUCUCUCUGUCUCUCAUGUGGAAAUCCACUCCUCUCCACUCAGUAAUAACAUUUACAGAUUUACGCAUUAAAGCUGAUCAGAAGGCAUUUUAAUAAUUGAUCCAGUUUUUCAGGAACACCUUGU